GGCGGCUGCUGGAACGGCAGUCGAGUGUUGGGGGAAGGGAGCUUGUUAAUCGCUGUAAGCCAUUUUGCCGUUCAGAGGAGAGUUGGAGAGUGUGGUGAGCAGAUGAGAGCUAGUUUCUGAAUUUAAAAUGCCACCACGGAUCAGUCCUCUUAGGGAUGCCAUAGAACAUGUGGUUUCAAAAACAGACAAAACAAGCAAGUUGGAGGUGAAGUACAUUAAUGCAGUAAAAGGACGUGGAGUAUUUGCAAAGAGUUCUAUUUGCAAAGGAGAUUUUCUUGUUGAAUAUCGAGGAGAUAUGAUAAAUGAAGCAGAAUCCCAGAGAAGAAGAAACAUUUACCACCCAUCAUGUACUGUAUUUAUGUUUGACUUCAAGUGGAAAGGGAAACUAUGGUGUAUUGAUGCCUCAAGAGAAGAUGGAUCAUUUGGGCGGCUCGUUAACGAUGACCACAGACACCCAAACUGUAAAAUGAAAAAAAUUGAUGUGGAUGGAAAACCACACCUUUGUUUGUUUGCCCUGAAUGACAUUAAAGAAGGAGAAGAAAUUGUCUAUGACUAUGGGGGUGAUGACUACCCAUGGAGAACACAAGUAUGUUGCAAAGUAUGCAGUAUACGUAAUGCUGUGAUUCAGAAUGUAUUAAGUAUUGUUCAUGAUGUCUUUAUGGUUUUAUAUGUUUGCAUUGUCUUUAUAAAAUGUGAUUACAGACGACCAGUGCUACUUCCCAUGCUGUGGUGGGUGAUUCUGAUCUUCCUCAACCAUCUCAGGCUCAGACUAGUGUCUCUCCUGGUCCAGACUAUUCUCCUGAACAGGUAAGUUCAUUUUCUUCACUUUAGAUUUAGUUCUACUCUCUCUCUCUUUAUAGUUUUUCUGGGUAAUCACGGCGUCCCCACAACACACCUUUAGUCGGUUUUAGAGUGAAAUAUAAGUGUAAAAUUAGUCAUAACAGUCCGUGCAAGGAACCGUCCCCACAAGGAACGGUUAGAGUGUGUGUAACGUUUCCACAGAGCAUGUUUUAUAUACUCUGUGUUAUUAGUAAUUGAAAUGGGAUGGGCAGCAUGAAAUAUCAA